rnacentral:tRNA from 1 species
UCCUCUGUAGCUCAAUUGGUAGAGCAUGGCGCUUGCAACGCCAGGAUAGGGCGUUCGAUUCCCGGGAA